ACAUCACGAUAUCUCACCGUCACGGAGGUAAAGGUGGGUAGAAAAAUACAAAAAGACCAAUGGAGCAUAAUUUACAACAAACUCGUUUAUUAACAUGAAAACCUUUACCAUCCACUUACCUGGGUGGAAUUUAUGAAAACAAUAUAAGAAAAACAAUAACAUUAUCAUAAUCAUUGAAUAAUAUAAGCUGUAAAACAUAACACUUAUCACGCCUCUUGUAAUUCAAUCAUUGUACAACAUAUCUCUUUUCUCAUUUACCAGCCUACUAGUAUCCGUGGGGGUCCAUAGGGGUUCCGCUACCCGUUAACCUUUAACAUUCAUAAUCAGUUUCCAGGGCCGUCCCCAUACCCCGUCCGGUAUGGGCGCCAAAACCAUGAACCUCAAUACCCCGUCCGGUAUGAGGGUGAAACGGGCCGUCCCCAUACCCCGUCCGGUAUGAGCGCCAAAACCAUAAACCUCAAUACCCCGUCCGGUAUGAGGGUGAAACGGGCCGUCUCCAUACCCCGUCCGGUAUGGGCGCCAAAACCGUAAGAUCUCCAUACCCCGUCCGGCAUGUGAGACCACAAUCCCGGUAGGGUUCCCUACGGACCCGAUCCGUCCACCAUCUCCCAGGAUAUCUAGUCAGGCUGACCCCCAUAAUACAAUUAUCAGUCUACACAAUCUUUCAUUUUCCUUUUCCUCAAUCAGCAUCAUCAAUUAACAUACAAACAAGCAAACAGUAAUUCAUGCCAAACAGACAACAUACAGUAUCAGUUUUUCAGUCAUUCA
rnacentral:lncRNA from 1 species